rnacentral:lncRNA from 1 species
UUAAAUGUGUGUGUUUUUUUUUACCUAGGAUCAAGUUCUUAUCUAUUCCUUCUCCAGAAAAAUAACCAGUAUGAGCAUAUCUGUCUUCCAUGAACUCAGUUUGUUGCAGAAGAGGGGUGCAAACCUGUCUGGUGGUAAGUUCCUUGAUGCUAAAGAGCUUUUACAAAUUAAUGAGCCAUGUCUUUAUAUAGAAGUUGCUAUUUUGGUUAUGUAAUUAAAUAUAACAAAUAAUUUUCAAAGAGAAAACAUAAAUCUAAAUUUUGGACUUUAGAUUUGCGAACUUGUUAUUUUACUUUAUUGUAUUAUUUUUUUUUCUGGUAAUGAGCUUGGGUUGACAUGGAUUUGUGUUAGUGAAAUUAACACAAAAAUAAUAUAGUUCCCAGAGAUGCAAAGCUACGAUGUUGUGUGGUUCUAAAUAAGUAUCUCAAAUGGUGCAAUAAGUUUUUUUGCUAAAAAAAUAAUUAUUUUAAUAUGAACAAAAUAAUAAAUGAUUUUUACUUUUCUUAUCUCACUUGAAGAAAAAUGUUGAUCUUAAUAUAUGAUUUACUUUGGAGUACUUUAAACCAUAAUAUUUGUGUAGUGUGUGGUUAAAUCUAAAUAUUGACAGAUUUAGCACAAAUUGAAAUACUUUGGAGCACAUGCAUCCACAAAAUUGAUCUGAAGGUGUUCUUACGUUAUCUUUUAAGUCAAAUUUGAGAUUAGCUUGGGCUUCAGGGUAGUGGAGUAGGUAUUAUCCUUGCUUUAAAUCUAUUCAUUUGUUAUGCAAUGUUAGGAUACUAAGGAAGUUGAGAUCAAGUUUAUUUUUUCUGGCUUGUUAGAUUCUGUCUUAUUCUUUUUCCGGUACUUAUUAGUCCUUUGGCAUUUUAUUUAAUAGCUUUUAAUUCAAUGAGAGGUAAUAUAUAAAUUCGGUAGAAGCAAAAUGAAGAUGGGAGAGAGAAUAAAGCAGUAACACAAACAAUACAUAUGAUGUUGCAAUUGCAAGAAAGUUGUUAUUUGAUGAAGCAAACAAUUGAUAAUAUUACAGUAAUUCAUGUUAAUGGGGUUGUGCCAUUACAAAUGAAUUUAAUAUUUUACCUCAGAAAUUUAAAUUUGCAGAACUGCUGAAUGUAAGUGUAAAAUGGUGAAAGAAAAGUUGAGUGCAUUAUAAACUGUAUUACUUUACUGGUAUUUUCCAGCUACUUUUUCUUCAUUCCAUUAUUUGUUUUUUAGCUUUUCCAAAUUUUGGGAGAAGGGAUAAACAGUAUGGUAAUGCACUUGGAAGAUCAAUGAAGCGGAUCAUCAUAUGAGCCAUAUAGAUUUCUUUUCUCUUUAUUAGAAAACCUCAUAUUUUUCCUCCUUUUGCAUUCAACAAGAGAUUUGAAUGUCCUCUCAGAAAUUUGUACAAGUUUGAAUCAAACACUAACAUCUUCUCAACUUAUUUUCAUCAAUUACUUUUGCUUAAUUUUAUAUUUUUACUGGUGAAGAUUGCUUGUUUUCUCUCUUUCCUUGCUUUGUAUUUGGUAUUCACAAAAGGCAUAACAUAUAUUUUGAUAUUCCUUGAAGGUUAUUGCAUUGCAUCCGCUUUUUAUGCUCAUUGGAGCUUCUCAUUGAUGUCCUAUACUAAUUUUAAUAAAAUUUUCUUAUUUUAACUGUUGCAUAUCCAGUGCAGUAUGGUGACGAGAGGGUUUCUUAGGUGGUGAGUGUUGAGCUAGCUGUAGGCAUGGAAGUGAGAAGCAUAGCCAAAGGUUUUUUGUUUUGAUGGGUCCAUAGCUGGAUUUAAAGACAUAUUAAUAAAAAUGCUACUACUCGCCAGGGAUACAGCCUAAGACAGAAGUAACAGUGGUGAUUGAUGUCAUAAGGAAGACUUUGAUCACUGAUUAAAAACACUAUGGAAGACUUUGAACAUUGGCACAAGCCAAACGUGGCCAAUUACAGGCUUUUCUACCGGACAUCUUAUGAACGUGAGGGGAAGAACUUCAACUGUUCCCAUUUCUGAAAGAGUUUCUGGGAUUUUGGAUUCUAUUUAUUGCUCGAUUUAUCCCACCAGGAGACAAAGACAAAGUGGUGUGAUUUGGUAUCCUUGAUAUCCAAUUCAGUGAUAGCACUGCCAACGGGGUUGACGCGAUUAUAUGUAGCAGGUGGACUAGGUUCUCAGUCUAUGAAACUAUUCAACUGAGCAUUUCUGAAAUUAUCACUCGGCCUUUUGGAAGGCAAAUGUGGUGAUUUAAUUCAAGCAUGGGUGUGUUUGGAUGAGAAAGACACGUCUGAGCAUCAUAGAGACAUUUGCAAUUUUUCUUCAUUGUAUUAAAUUAUAAAGAAAUAGUGCACUAGAGUGAAUGGAAUUUUAGAGCCUACAUUUGACGUAUUGAUGUACCUUUUGGCCCGUGCACAGCACGGGCAAUCAUAUCUAGUAUAUAAAUAAAACGAAGCAAUGUACAAAAAAGUUUGGUAGAGCUACACAAAUAAAAGAGAGCAUACUUUGAGAAGGAAAAUUAGUUUCCUUGUACCGUUA